rnacentral:lncRNA from 1 species
GAAAGAAGUAGGAUGCCUCCAAUGCUUCUGCCAUCUGCUCCUUUGAAAAGACGACUCAUCUCCUUGUCUCUUGGUCUGAAAAAUGCUGUGUACUUUUGCUGAUGUGUGAACAGACUCGCUGAAUGAAGGAUGAGGCCAAAAGACUGUGGACCCUUGCAUCCCUCACAGCAAACAAAAGGUCUGGAAGAUAUCCACACAUGGACUUCACCAGAAGUCAAGCAGCUGUGCAAGGAUGGACACCUACCAGAAGAGCAAUUCACCAGAAGAGUGCUUUUAGUCUUUUGGUUGCUUCAAGAUACCUGCAUUCUUUGUUCAAAGCUUCCCAAAAAAUGGAGGCUUUUGUUACUGAUUUGUUCUCCUCUACAUGUACUACCUAAUAUCUUAUGGUUUGAAUACACAGCAAAAACUUCCUUUCGUUUUAUUAUCCAUUAGAGGCAGGGACAAAAUCUGAUGUGCAUUUAGGAACAAAGUGCAAAAGUGUUUAAUCCAAAAUACCUUACAAGCUUUCUGUCAGUAGACUUUUUCCAGUCACCUUUGACCUGAUCCUGCACCUAUUGGAAGAGGGACAAAGUAAUACUAAACCCUAACACCUAAUUUUCACAGUCUGUCUCAUGAACUGGUGUUAAGAUAAUAAAAGGUAGAUAAGAAAAGAUCA